rnacentral:rRNA from 1 species
GCAAGUCGAACGGUAACAGGGAGGAGCUUGCUCCUUUGCUGACGAGUGGCGCACGGGUGCGUAACGCGUAUAGAAUCUACCUUGUACUGGGGAAUAGCCUUUGGAAACGAAGAUUAAUGCCCCAUAGUAAUGGUUAGUGGCAUCACUUACCUUUUAAAACUCCGGUGGUACAAGAUGACUAUGCGUCCCAUUAGUUAGUUGGUAAGGUAACGGCUUACCAAGGCAUCGAUGGGUAGGGGUCCUGAGAGGGAGAUC